rnacentral:rRNA from 1 species
UACGUAGGGUGCGAGCGUUAAUCGGAAUUACUGGGCGUAAAGCGUGCGCAGGCGGUUUACUAAGACAGGGGUGAAAUCCCCGGGCUUAACCUGGGAAUGGCGCUUGUGACUGGUAGGCUAGAGUACGUCAGAGGGGGGUGGAAUUCCACGUGUAGCAGUGAAAUGCGUAGAGAUGUGGAGGAACACCGAUGGCGAAGGCAGCCCCCUGGGAUGAUACUGACGCUCAGGCACGAAAGCGUGGGGAGCAAACAGG